UUUGGAGGAUGGAGGGGGAGGGGACCCGCGGGGGCCAGGACUCAGCUGGGAGGCUGAAGGCGUGGGGUGGCCAAUUGCUUGGUCACACACAAAACCUUCCUGCAACGUCCCUCUUCCAGGGGACCAGCUGUGCUGGAGUCAGUGAUGCUGAGAGAUUAUUACGUGCUACCCCAAUGGAAUCGGCGAUGGGGCACACCAUGGAUUUUACUCUGAAGAACACCUGCACACCAGAGGAUGCCAAUGGGACAAUGAAGUUUCAUUCUUUUUAUUGGUGGGUGUUACCUGCUUUACCUCAGAAAGAAUUUAUUAACCUAGUUAACUCUGCAGCCCCAACGUUUGUGGUCCAGGUUUUUGCAAUUGAGGUCCCUGAGGUAUAUUUGUGGUAUACCUAGCAUGGUACCUGAAAUUGUGCGAAUUAACCCAAGUCAGGUUCAGGAUUAGGUUAAUUUGCACAGGAGAGAGGCUGAACAGCUACCCUCUCUGGUGGUGGCAUCUGAGCUCCAGACUCUGUUUCUACCUUUGUUUGCAAAAUAAACUUUAAAACUACAAACAUCAGGCCUGAUUACUCUUUCAGAAAGCCUUCAGUGCUUCUGGUGUGUUAGUGCCCCUAUUUUGUCUUUUUCCGUCCUGUAGUAGAUAUUUUCUCAGUUUUUGGGGGGUAAUCAAUGGCAUUUUUAGGCCUGAGGUAGUAUAGGCAGGUACUUAGUUUGCCAGUAUGAUCCCAACUGUCUUUACCAUAAAUUAUAGCAGUGAUAUCAAAAUAUCCUGAAAUAAUUUGUCCACCUACACAAUCCCAGCUAGAAUUCUGACCUAAUUACAAUUCUAGUUCUAUCUGCAGUAGGCAAUAAUAUCAGGUUGAUUGUUACAAUGUAAGUUUAACAUCUAAUUAGCUGGUGAAACUGGGAGCAUAUCUGCAACGGUGGUUUUGGCUCCUGCCUGGAUCCCUUGUCUGGUGCGCUGGAGCUUUAAAGUGAAUAGAGAUUUCUGUUGAUAUUUAAUUAAACCAUGCAAACAUUUUGGUCAUA